rnacentral:tRNA from 1 species
GCCGAAGUGGCGGAAUUGGCAGACGCACUUGACUCAAAAUCAAGCGCCCUCUGGGUGUGGGAGUUCGAGUCUCCCCUUCGGCACCA